rnacentral:rRNA from 1 species
GGAGCAUGUGGUUAAUUCGAAGAUACACGAAGACUUACCUGGCCUUGACAUGGUAGGAACCUUAAGAGAUUAGGGGUGCUAGCUUGCUAGAACCUACACACAGGUGCUGCACGGCUGUCGUCAGCUCGUGUCGUGAGAUGUUGGGUUAAGUCCCGCAACGAGCGCAACCCUCGUCCUUAGUUGCUAACAGUUCGGCUGAGCACUCUAGGGAGACUGCCUUCGCAAGGAGGAGGAAGGUGAGGACGACGUCAAGUCAUCAUGGCCCUUACGGCCAGGGCUACACACGUGCUACAAUGGGGCGUACAGAGAGCUGCGAUACCGCGAGGUGGAGCCAAUCUCUUAAAGCGUCUCUCAGUUCGGAUUGUUCUCUGCAACUCGAGAACAUGAAGCUGGAAUCACUAGUAAUCGCAGAUCAGCUAUGCUGCGGUGAAUACGUUCCCGGGUCUU